AUGCCUUAUCACUAUUUAUUUUUGGCACUCUUCACCUACCUGGCCACGUCCAAUGUUGUUUCAGGAAGUACACAAGCAUGCCUGCCAGUGGGCCCGAGGAAAAAUGGGAUGAAUGUCAACUUUUAUAAAUACUCAUUACUGGAUUCAACAACGUAUUCCUACCCGCAAUAUAUGACUUCUGGAUAUGCCUCGAAUUGGAAUUAGGUUCCGUUGGCGGACAGACGGAUUUCUCAAUUGACUACGAUCUUUCUUGUGUUAUCUCUUCAGGAACUUUUAAAUGUGCUCAAUCAGAUGCUUAUGGAAACUGGGGAUGCAGAGGUCAUAGUGAAUGUUCAAAAUAGCCAAGAAAGACCUAUUGGAGUACUGAUUUACUUGGUUUCUUACUAUCCCAAAAAACGCUACUCUAGAAAUGACAGGUUACUUUUUACCACCACAAACAAGUUCUUACACGUUCAGGUUUGCUAAGGUCGAUGACUCUGCAAUUCUAUCAGUCGGUGGUAACGUUGCGUUCGAAUGUUGUGCACAAGAACAACCUCCAAUUACAUCGACGGAUUUUACAAUCAAUGGUAUUAAGCCAUGGCAAGGAAGUUUGCCUGAUAACAUCGGAGGGACUGUCUACAUGUAUGCAGGCUACUAUUAUCCGCUGAAGGUUGUUUACUCCAAUGCCGUUUCCUGGGGCACGCUUCCAAUUAGCGUGGAAUUGCCUGAUGGUACUACUGUUAGUGAUGACUUUGAAGGGUACGUUUACUCUUUUGACGAUGAUUUAAGUCAGUCAAAUUGUACUAUCCCUGAUCCUUCAAAACAUACUACUAGCAUCGUCACAACUACUACCGAACUGUGGACUGGUACUUUUACUUCUACAUCUACUGAAAUGACCACCGUCACCGGUACUAAUGGUCAACCAACUGACGAAACCGUUAUUGUUGCCAAAGCUCCAACCACUGCCACCUCAUCCAGUUUGUCAUCAUCUUCUUCAGAACAAAUCACCAGCUCUAUCACGUCUUAG
rnacentral:sRNA from 1 species